ensembl:lncRNA
CAAAUAUGGUACCCAAGAUAGACAUCAUGAUACUCAUAGGUAAACAAUUGACUUACAUGUUCAUUAAAUCAUCAUCAAACAUUGUUUUUUCAUAAUGUAGGUAAACUUUGAAAACUAUGAAGCGAUGCUGUCAUUCAUCCAUGUGAAUGGGAAUCAUUGGAACAUGCUGGUUUGUUGCCUUCUUAAUUUUCACUCAGUAAGAUGUUUGUUACCACAUCGUGAAAUAAAGUAUUAAUUACAGUAUACCCUCUCUUCUUUCACAGUACAUUCAUGCAAAGUCUGGCACAGUCUUCCAAUUGGAUCCAUCACCAGCAUCCUCUGAGCUUGAGGACUCUGCACAUGCCGCCACGAAAAUACAGUAAAUAUUCAAGCUAGAAUUCUAAACAUUUGAAGUCAGUCAUGUUCACAUCAGUGGUAUGUUUGAAGAUCUGUCCAUAUGCCUUAUCAGUAAAUACAAACUUUGCUAAAAUGUAUCUGUGAAUGAACAAUGUUUUGGUAGUACCUAAAGAAAUUAUCACAACAUCACGUUUCUUCAGGGAAUACUUCAAGAUGAGGAGAACAUCCCAUGGGAAAACGGACUGGGUUGAUGUUCAGUGGAAAGGAGGAGUAAUGCCCCACCCAGUGCAAAGGGAUGGUUGCAGUUGUGGCGUUAUUGUUGUCGAAAUGGCCAGAGCAGUAAUGGAAGCCUUCCCUCAGUUGCCCCAAAUGCAAUUUGAAACCACCAGGAAAGCCAUGGGAGAAUCUAGGAGGAAUAUGGGUCCCCAAGUCCUUGAGGCAUCAGGUACAAUAACUUAAAUAAUGAAUAACUUAAAGGCACUCCACAUGAAUUCAGAUUAAAUGUAUUAUGCAAAUACACUUUCUUUCAGUCUUUGAUGAAGAGACAUGUUCAAUGUGUGGAGCUGACAGGCCCCUUGGAGAAGCACCUGCCAACACAGACUGGGUGAGUUGUUGUGAGCAGCAGUUCAAUGUGGAAUCGUGAUGAGACAUACAGUGUUGGUAGCAACUUACUAAUUUACUGUGAUAAUAUUACCCCAAUGAAUAACAGCACAUAUUCCUCCAUGAGUUAUAUGUAAUGCACUACUUUUCUUAAGUAACUUCACCGACGCUUGUGAUAUACCAGUUAAACUUAAGUGUUGCUACCAACUGACAAAAUCAUGUGCAUGAAUAAAUCAUGAAUUAAUUUUUUAAUUCAACAGAUCCAGUGUGAUAAAUGUGACCGGUGGUUCCAUGCAGUCUGUUUAACCAUGGACAGUAGUUAAUAAUUACCACCCCCUGGGCAUGUUUAUGAAAAUAGGAACUUCCGGUUGGGGGGAGGGGGGGUGGUGGGGGUGUUUAUGACGGCACUUCCGGUUGGUGUUGUCAUGUAUAAUGUCUGCGUUGUGCCUUAUGGGUCAUCUAGAGUGCGAGCCUGCUAGGGGUCAUGUGAAGCGUUGUAUGGCCAUGUCUCUUCCUCUCUUUGCGUGUGUUGUAAUCAGAUUCCAGGCAACGUUUUGGGGGUAUGGUGUUGUUCUUCCCCCCUCUGGCUAGCGUCGCCAAUAGCCUUAGGGUUACAUGUUUACCAUCUGGUAGACAACCACAUCCUCCAUAAGCCAGCCAAAGUGAAUUUGUGUGUGUGUGUGUGUGUGUGUGUGUGUGUGUGUGUGUGUGUGGGUGUGGGUGUGUGUGUGUGUGUGUGUGUGUGUGUGUGUGUGUGUGUGUGUGAGUGUGUGUGUGUGUGUUUUGAUGUAAAAUGCGUUAAAUAUUAUUAUAUGUAACCUCUUAAUACAUACAUAUAUAUAUAUAUAUAUAUAUAUAUAUAUAUAUAUAUAUAUAUAUAUAUAUAUAUAUAUAUAUAUAUAUAUGUGUAUAGAGGUCAUCGUAUUAUAGGGGGUAUUCAUAAUGUGAUAUAUCAGGGUUAAAAAGAGGUGUUCACCAUAUGCGGGUUCCGUUUGUGGGUCACUUAGACAACAUAUUAGGAGUUAUCAUGAUACUAUUAAAUGAUGUUUUAAUAAUUUUGUUUAUUAUAAGAUAUAUGUAUUAACCAUACUUAUCAAUAGUAGAUAGUCUAGUGUGUGAAUGAGUAGGCGUAGGCCAUUGGUGUCUAGGAACUGUGUAUUAUCAGUGUGUCUACUGGACAGGAUGUCGUGACACACGGUGACGGUAUGUAUAUGACUCCUAAUGAUGUGUGGACUUGGUCUGCGACCCUCUGGUUAGCGUCGCCAAUAGCCUUAGGGUUGCAUGUUUACCAUCUGGUAAACAACCACAUCCGCCAUAAGCAUACCUAAGUGAAUUUGUGUGUGACUUAUUGCUAUUCUGUGUGGUUUAAUAUAGGGCCUACGUUCUCCUCUACUUAUGGGUCAUCUAGAGUGCGAGCCUGCUAGGGGUCAUGUGAAGCGUUGUAUGGCCAUGUCGCUUCCUCUCUUUGCGUGUGUUGUAAUCAGAUUCCAGGCAUUGUGUUGGGUGUAUGGCGUUGUUCUUCGGCCCUAGGGCUAGUGUCGCCAAUAGCCUUAGGGCUACAUGUUUACCAUCUGGUAGACACCCACAUCCUCCAUAAGCCAGCCUAAGUGAAUUUGUGUGUGUGUGUGUGUGUGUGUGUGUGUGUGUGUGUGGGUGUGUGUGUGUGUGUGUGUGUGUGUGUGUGUGUGUGUGUGUGUGUGUGUGUGUGUGUGUGUGUGUGUGUGUGUGGGGGUGUGUGUGUGUGUGUUUGAUGUAAUAAUGCGUUGAAUAUUAUUAUAUGUAACCUCUUAAUACAUAUAUAUAUAUAUAUAUAUAUAUAUAUAUAUAUGUGUGUAUAGAGGUCAUCGUAUUAUAGGGGGUAUUCAUAAUGUGAUAUAUCAGGGUUAAAAAGAGGUGUUCACCAUAUGCGGGUUCCGUUUGUGGGUCACUUAGACAACAUAUUAGGAGUUAUCAUGAUACUAUUAAAUUAUGUUCUAUUAAUUUCGUUUAUUAUAAGAUAUAUGUAUUAACCGUACUUAUCAAUAGUAUAUAGUCUAUUGUGUGAAUGAGUAGGCGUAGGCCAUUGGUAUCUAGGCAUGCGCACUAACGGUGUGUCUAUUGGUCAGGAGGUCAUGACACCGGGGGUAGGAGGGUCGGGUAUACUGGUGAUUAUCUAUCGGGGGUAUAUAUCGACCCAGUGCAGAAUGAACAUAGCCCUGAUCCUCCAAACGUCUGAGAGCUAGUCUAAGCUAGUAGACUCGUCAUAGCGGCUGCAGAAAAAAGAGAAGAAAAAAAAAAACAGCUACUCCAACCUGCGCAACUAUGCCUACUGACUGUAAGUAUUCAUAUGAGUGUAAUAUAUUAUUAUUAUUAUUAUUAUAUCAUGACUAUGACCAUGUGUAUACGCGGCCCAUAUCUGAUUGAUACAUAGUUUUUCCGCAGUGAUUUCUGACGUCGGCUCUGAGAGCGUGAAAAGGCAUCAGGGUCCACGCGCACGUACGAUG